rnacentral:tRNA from 1 species
GAAAUAUAGGCUAAUUACNUAAACCAUAGGCCUUCAAAGCCUAAAUCGUGAACUCACUAUUUCUG